rnacentral:snoRNA from 1 species
AUCCUCCAAGUCCCUUCCCCAUCAGACCAAGCACUGACCUGAGUGGUUAUAAAAGGAGGAAAAGUAAAAUUGAAAGUGAUUCAAAUGUGUUUUAUGACAAACAAGUUCGUUUCAAACAGAG